CCCUUAGAGUUUGAUCCUGGCUCAGGAUGAACGCUGGCGGCGUGCUUAACACAUGCAAGUCGAACGAUUUCGAGGCCCGAGACCCGAGACCCAAAGCCCGAUGAAUGUAAGACUUUGAAGGACAUGCAUAAGUGCAAGUUCUUGAAAGGAAUACAAGAAAUCGGACAUCGAGCAUCGUGUCUCGGACCUCGAGAUAGUGGCGGACGGGUGAGUAACGCGUGGGUAACCUGCCCUUAAGUGGGGGACAACAGUUGGAAACGACUGCUAAUACCGCAUAAAGUUGAGAAACCGCAUGGUUUAACAACCAAAGGAGAAAUCCGCUUUUGGAUGGACCCGCGUCUGAUUAGCUAGUUGGUGGGGUAACGGCCUACCAAGGCGACGAUCAGUAGCCGGCCUGAGAGGGUGAUCGGCCACACUGGGACUGAGACACGGCCCAGACUCCUACGGGAGGCAGCAGUGGGGAAUCUUCCGCAAUGGACGAAAGUCUGACGGAGCAACGCCGCGUGAGGGACGAAGGCUUUCGGGUUGUAAACCUCUGUCUUCAGGGAAGAAAGAAAUGACGGUACCUGAGGAGGAAGCCCCGGCUAACUACGUGCCAGCAGCCGCGGUAAUACGUAGGGGGCGAGCGUUAUCCGGAAUUAUUGGGCGUAAAGGGCGUGUAGGCGGAUAUUUAAGUCAGGUGUGAAAACCCAGGGCUCAACCCUGGAUCUGCAUCUGAAACUGGGUAUCUUGAGGACAGGAGAGGAAAGUGGUAUUCCUAGUGUAGCGGUGAAAUGCGUA
rnacentral:rRNA from 1 species